AUUGAACGCUGGCGGCAGGCCUAACACAUGCAAGUCGAACGGUAACAGGAAACAGCUUGCUGUUUCGCUGACGAGUGGCGGACGGGUGAGUAAUGUCUGGGAAACUGCCUGAUGGAGGGGGAUAACUACUGGAAACGGUAGCUAAUACCGCAUAACGUCGCAAGACCAAAGAGGGGGACCCUCGGGCCUCUUGCCAUCGGAUGUGCCCAGAUGGGAUUAGCUUGUUGGUGGGGUAACGGCUCACCAAGGCGACGAUCCCUAGCUGGUCUGAGAGGAUGACCAGCCACACUGGAACUGAGACACGGUCCAGACUCCUACGGGAGGCAGCAGUGGGGAAUAUUGCACAAUGGGCGCAAGCCUGAUGCAGCCAUGCCGCGUGUAUGAAGAAGGCCUUCGGGUUGUAAAGUACUUUCAGCGGGGAGGAAGGGAGUAAAGUUAAUACCUUUGCUCAUUGACGUUACCCGCAGAAGAAGCACCGGCCAACUCCGUG
rnacentral:rRNA from 1 species